AGGGUUAUUGAUGAGUUCGGGGAGUGCCUUCUUCUUUAUAUUAAAAAUCUUUUUUCUUUACUACACUUCAGUGUAGGAAAUCCAGGAAGUACAGCAAAGUACUCGUUCAUUCAUUCAGUCAUUCAUUCAGUCAGCCAACUAUUUUUUUUUUUUUUUUUUUUUUGAGAUGGAGUCUUGCUCUGUCACCCAGGCUGGAGUGCAGUGGCGAGAUCUCGGCUCACUGCAAGCUCCACCUCCUGGGUUCAUGCCAUUCUCCUGCCUCAGCCUCCCGAGUAGAGUAGCUGGGACUACAGGCGCCUGCCACCACGCCCAGCUAAUUUUUUGUAUUUUAGUAGAGACGGGGUUUCACCGUGUUAGCCAGGAUGGUCUCAAUCUCCUGACCUCGUGAUCCGCCCACCUCAGCCUCCCAAAGUGCUGGGAUUACAGGCGUGAGCCACCGCGCCCGGCCCCAACUGCUAUUAAUGAGCACCGCCUUGCGCUCCCCAGCUCUGCUGCCAGCCAGAGGAUCAUUUAAAAAUUGAAAUGGCCUGUUACUCCACACAGAGCUGGGGCCCAGCAGCACCUCAGCUGGAAUGUGGCGUUUUUCGUUGCAGGGAGAAGUGGUGAACCUGCGGCCCUCAGGCUUGUACCUGCUUCACUGGGGGAGGCUUCGGAAAGUGCAGAAGACAGAACAUUUCUUAACUCGUUCCAUGAGGUCAGCGUUACUCUCACGCCAAAGCCGGACAAGGACAUCAUAAGAAAAGAAAACUACAGACCAAUACCACUCAGGAAUACAAAUGCAAAAAUCCUCAACAAAAUAUUAACUAACCAAAUUCUAUAACGUAUUAAAAAGAUUAUUCACCAUGGCCAAGUGGGAGUUAUCUCAAGAAAGCAAGGUGAUUCAGCACAAGAAAAUCAACCAGUAUAAUUGAUCAUUAGGAGAAUGAAGGGGCUGAGCACAGUGGCUCACACCUGUAAUCCCAACACUUUGGAAGGCCAAGAUGAGAGGAUUGCUUGAAGCCAGGAUUUCAAGACCGGUCUGGAAAAAAUAGCGAGACCUCAUCUCUACAGUUUUGUUUUCUUUUUAAUUAGCCAGGCUUGGUGGUGUGUGCCUGUAAUCCCAACAACUUGGGAAGCUGAGAUGAGGGGAUCACUCGGGCUUAAGAGUUUGAGACUGCAGUGAGCUCUGAUUGUGCCACCGCACUCCAGCCUGGAUGACAGAGUGAGAUCCUAAGUCCAAUAAAUAAAAAAAUAAUAGAAUGAAGGGAAAAUAAAAACCCCACAUGAUCAUCACAGUUGAUGUGGAAGAGGCAUUUGAAAACACUCAGCACCUUUUAUGAUAAAAAUCUAAGUGAACUAGGAAUAAAGGGAAAACUUCUCAACGUGAUAAAGGGUAUUUAUGGAAAAUCUAUAGCUAACAUCAUAUUCAAUGGUGAAGGGGUGAAAGCUUUCCCACUGAGAUCAGGAACAAGCUAAAGAUAUCCCCUUUGCCAUUUCUAUUUAACAUUGUACUGGCAGUUCUAGCCAGAGCCAUUCAGCAAGAAAAAGUAAUAACAGGCAUCCAAAUUGGGAAGGAAGAGGUAAAACUAUCCAUAUUCACAGAUGACAUCCCCUCCCCUCCCCUCACCUCCCCUUUGCUUCCUUCAUUAAUUAUAGAGACAGGGUCUUGCUCUGUUACCCAGGCUGGAGUGUUGUGGCACAAUCAUAUCUCAUUGGAGCCUCAAAGUCCUGGGCUGAAGCGAUCCUCCCACCUCAGCCUUCCAAGCAGCUGGGACUAAAGGUGUGUUCCACAAUACUUGGUUAUUUAAAAAAAAAGUAUAGAGCUAAGGUCUCACUAUGUUGACCAGGGUGGUCUCAAACUCCUAGGCUCAAGCAAUCCUCCUGCCUUGGCCUCCCAAAGUAUUGGGAUUAUAGCUGUGAGACACUGCACCUGGCCUCAUAAUCUUUUAUAAAGAAAAUUCCAAAGAAUACACAAGAAAGUGACUAGGCUAAUAAAUGAAUUCAUCAAAGCUGCAUGGCAAAACAUCAGCACACAAAAGUCUGUUGCGUUUCUAUACACCAGCAAUGAAUAAUCUGAAAAGAAAAUUAAGAAAGCAAUUCCAUAUAUAAUAGCAUUUAAAAUAAUUAAAUACUUAGGAAAAUACCUAGCCAAAGAAAUGAAAGACUUUCAUGCUAAAAACUACAAAACACUGCUGAACAGAAUGAAAGGAUAUCUAAAUAAAUGAAAAGACAUCCCAUGUUCACAGAUAGAAAGAUUUAACAUUGUUAAGAUGUCAAUACUAUCCAAAAUGUUCUAUAGAUACAACAUAAUUCCUAUCAAAAUUCCAAGAGCCUUUUUCACAGAAAUGGAAAAUCCAAUCUUGAAAUGUGUAUAAAUUGCAAGGUGCCCCAAACUGUCAAAAUUACUUUGAAAAAGAAUAAAGUUGGAGAACACACAUUUCCCAACUUCAAAAAAAUUACUAGAAAGUUACAUUAAUUAAGAGUAUGGUACUAGCAUAAGAACAGACAUAUAGACUGAUGAAAUAGAAUAGAUAGCUCAGAAAUGAACCCUCACAUAUAUGAUCAAUUGAUUUUUGACAAGAGUACCAAGACCACUCAAAUGGGGAAAGAAUAGGUUUUUCAAUAAAUGGUGUUGGGAAAACUGGCUAUUCACAUACAGAAGAAUGAAAUUGGACUUUUACCUUGCACUAUAUACAAAAGUUAACUAGGAUCAAAGACCUAAACUGAAGAGCUAAAACCAUACAACUCUUAGUUAGAAAACACUGGAAAAAUCUUUUUAACACUGGAUUUUAUAACAACUUCAUAGGUAUGACAUCAAAAGCACAAACAACGAAAGAAAUGAGAUAGAUAAAUUGGAAUUCAUCAAAAUUAAGAUUUUUUUUUGCAUCAAAGGACAUUAUUUAAAACGUGAAAAAGGCUCGGUGUAGGGCUCACAUCUGUAACUCCAAUACUUUGAGAGGCUGAAGCAGGAGGAUUGCUUGAUGCCAGGAGUUUGAGAACAGCCUGGGCAAUGUAGUGAGACCCUAACUCUACAAAAAAAAUUAGCAAAUUAGCCAGGUGUGGUGGAGUGCACUGGUAGUCCCAGCUACUCAGGAGCCUGAGGUAGGAGGAUUGCUUGAACCCAGAGGUUUGAGGCUGCAGUGAGCUAUGAUCACACCACUGCACUGCAGCCUGGGUGACAGAGAGAGAUGCUAUCUCUAAAAACAAAAUGAAGCAAAAAAAUGACACACACUGUGAAAAGACAAUCUACAGAAUGGAAGAAAAUGUUUGCAAAUUGUAUAUCUGAGAAGAGAUUAAUAUCCAGAAUACAUAAACAACCCCUACAACUCAACAACAAUAAAAACCAACAAUGCAAUUCAAAAUGGGCAAAGGACACAAAGAGACAUUUCUUUAAAGAAGAUGGCCGGGCGCGGUGGCUCAAGCCUGUAAUCCCAGCACUUUGGGAGGCUGAGAUGGGCAGAUCACAAGGCCAGGAGAUCAAGACCAUCCUGGCUAACACGGUGAAACCCUGUCUCCACUAAAAAUACAAAAAAUUAGCUGG
rnacentral:lncRNA from 10 species